AUGUGCUGUCGGUCGUACGAGUUGCAACGAUGUGUUUGUUUGAUCGUGUUUUUUCGUUUGCUGUAAUGAAUUGUGACUUGGUUCGCGUGCACAAAAUUGCCAAAAGAUAGCUUGUGUCUCGCUGCUAACUCGCGGUAUGCGUGGUGUGCCAGGCAAACGUGGACCAACGAUUUUCAUGCCAUGGAUCGCGUUCCCUUUGUCCGUGGUGGUUGUGGAGAGUUCGGUGGACGCCGCAAAGAAAUGAUGCGCAUUAUUAGCGUUCCGCAGGUCGUCCACUACGCAACUGCAUGUAUGCGGGAAUAACUUUGCAGCUCCGGCAACUUGGAGGGCGCUUUUCGACCGCAUCGUACCAUUUAAAAGUGGCAAGGCCGUGACCAACAACAGUGUGCACGUCAGGGAGGAGCUAUGGCUGCAGCAGCGCUGUGUGUAAUCGGAUGGUCUGGUCAGGCAUGACUGAAGUGUACAGAUUGGUGUGGGAUUUGUGAUGCCACUCAACAAGUGGCAUUACAUAUUCAAGUCUGCUUCCAACGGAAAGUGCCCAUUAGAGGUGUCAUGGCACCUGUGGACACCAGUGCAAGCAGGUGAAAGCAACCUGACUGGACAGGCCUGCCGGACAAUGUGCCGCGCAUCUGGGAAGCUUCUGGCAACACCUCUCGGAGAAAGUGGCUGCUUUGAAGAACUGCCUGGAGAAAUAUAGAAGUGACCAUCCAAUGAUGCCACCAGCACCACAUCCGGAGAACCACCUUGCUUCCCUGCGAAAGCACCAUUGGAGCUUUCUUUUACACAAGCAGGACGCCAGGGCAAGCGAGUAGAAAAGUAAAUACAGUACAAGUCCAGUGAUGCUUUUUCAAUAAACUGUGAUGAUAUGCUAUGUAG